rnacentral:rRNA from 1 species
AUAACGACUCUCGGCAACGGAUAUCUCGGCUCUCGCAUCGAUGAAGAACGUAGCGAAAUGCGAUACUUGGUGUGAAUUGCAGAAUCCCGUGAACCAUGCAGUCUUUGAACGCAAGUUGCGCCCGAAGCCAUUAGGCCGAGGGCACGUCUGCCUGGGCGUCACG